rnacentral:rRNA from 1 species
UCCCAAACCCCUGUGAACAUACCAUAUUGUUGCCUCGGCGGUGCCUGUUUCGGCAGCCCGCCAGAGGACCCAAACCCUAGAUUACAUUAAAGCAUUUUCUGAGUCAAUGAUUAAAUCAAUCAAAACUUUCAACAACGGAUCUCUUGGUUCUGGCAUCGAUGAAGAACGCAGCGAAAUGCGAUAAGUAAUGUGAAUUGCAGAAUUCAGUGAAUCAUCGAAUCUUUGAACGCACAUUGCGCCCGCCAGUAUUCUGGCGGGCAUGCCUGUCCGAGCGUCAUUUCAACCCUCAAGCCCCCGGGCUUGGUGUUGGAGAUCGGCGAGCCCCCCGGGGCGCGCCGUCUCCCAAAUAUAGCGGCGGUCCCGCUGUAGCUUCCUCUGCGUAGUAGCACACCUCGCACUGGGAAACAGCGUGGCCACGCCGUAAAACCCCCCACUUCUGAAAGGUUGACCUCGGAU